AAAUUGAAGAGUUUGAUCAUGGCUCAGAUUGAACGCUGGCGGCAGGCCUAACACAUGCAAGUCGAACGGUAACAGGAAGCAGCUUGCUGCUUCGCUGACGAGUGGCGGACGGGUGAGUAAUGUCUGGGAAACUGCCUGAUGGAGGGGGAUAACUACUGGAAACGGUAGCUAAUACCGCAUAAUGUCGCAAGACCAAAGAGGGGGACCUUCGGGCCUCUUGCCAUCGGAUGUGCCCAGAUGGGAUUAGCUUGUUGGUGGGGUAACGGCUCACCAAGGCGACGAUCCCUAGCUGGUCUGAGAGGAUGACCAGCCACACUGGAACUGAGACACGGUCCAGACUCCUACGGGAGGCAGCAGUGGGGAAUAUUGCACAAUGGGCGCAAGCCUGAUGCAGCCAUGCCGCGUGUAUGAAGAAGGCCUUCGGGUUGUAAAGUACUUUCAGCGGGGAGGAAGGGAGUAAAGUUAAUACCUUUGCUCAUUGACGUUACCCGCAGAAGAAGCACCGGCUAACUCCGUGCCAGCAGCCGCGGUAAUACGGAGGGUGCAAGCGUUAAUCGGAAUUACUGGGCGUAAAGCGCACGCAGGCGGUUUGUUAAGUCAGAUGUGAAAUCCCCGGGCUCAACCUGGGAACUGCAUCUGAUACUGGCAAGCUUGAGUCUCGUAGAGGGGGGGUAGAAUUCCAGGUGUAGCGGUGAAAUGCGUAGAGAUCUGGAGGAAUACCGGUGGCGAAGGCGGCCCCCUGGACGAAGACUGACGCUCAGGUGCGAAAGCGUGGGGAGCAAACAGGAUUAGAUACCCUGGUAGUCCACGCCGUAAACGAUGUCGACUUGGAGGUUGUGCCCUUGAGGCGUGGCUUCCGGAGCUAACGCGUUAAGUCGACCGCCUGGGGAGUACGGCCGCAAGGUUAAAACUCAAAUGAAUUGACGGGGGCCCGCACAAGCGGUGGAGCAUGUGGUUUAAUUCGAUGCAACGCGAAGAACCUUACCUGGUCUUGACAUCCACAGAACUUUCCAGAGAUGGAUUGGUGCCUUCGGGAACUGUGAGACAGGUGCUGCAUGGCUGUCGUCAGCUCGUGUUGUGAAAUGUUGGGUUAAGUCCCGCAACGAGCGCAACCCUUAUCCUUUGUUGCCAGCGGUCCGGCCGGGAACUCAAAGGAGACUGCCAGUGAUAAACUGGAGGAAGGUGGGGAUGACGUCAAGUCAUCAUGGCCCUUACGACCAGGGCUACACACGUGCUACAAUGGCGCAUACAAAGAGAAGCGACCUCGCGAGAGCAAGCGGACCUCAUAAAGUGCGUCGUAGUCCGGAUUGGAGUCUGCAACUCGACUCCAUGAAGUCGGAAUCGCUAGUAAUCGUGGAUCAGAAUGCCACGGUGAAUACGUUCCCGGGCCUUGUACACACCGCCCGUCACACCAUGGGAGUGGGUUGCAAAAGAAGUAGGUAGCUUAACCUUCGGGAGGGCGCUUACCACUUUGUGAUUCAUGACUGGGGUGAAGUCGUAACAAGGUAACCGUAGGGGAACCUGCGGUUGGAUCACCUCCUUA
rnacentral:rRNA from 1 species